rfam:Streptomyces roseus strain ATCC 31245 contig_33, whole genome shotgun sequence.
AGAUGAGUGAGACACCCCGCUCCCGGGAGACCGGGGGCGACUCCAGUACCGGGCUUCCCCAGCGCCGCACUGGGCCUGCGUUCGCGCACACUCCUCACCGAUCGGA